ACUGCACGGUGUGAUGCAAGAAAGCCAGCGCUGUGUAACAGUUGGUACUUGAAUGGUCAGAAGGGCAAAACUUCUACUCUGAAACUCUCACAACACUCCAGAUUUAGUGACAGUCAUCAUGAACAAGAAUACCUGCGCUCUGCAUGGCAGGAGUAAAAGUAGAGAUAUGGGGAAACAGAUCUGCAGUCAAGAGCAAAGGCUGCUGUGUGCCUCAGCAGCAGUUGGUCAUCCUUUUACCUUGAGAAUCCC